rnacentral:rRNA from 1 species
AUGAACGCUAGCGGCAGGCUUAAUACAUGCAAGUCGAGGGGCAGCACGAAUAGCAAUAGUUUGGUGGCGACCGGCGCACGGGUGCGUAACACGUAUACAACCUACCUAUAACAGGGGGAUAGCCUUUCGAAAAGAGAGAUUAAUACCCCGUAAUAAAUUGAGUGGCAUCACUUGAUUUUGAAAGCUACGGCGGUUAUAGAUGGGUAUGCGUCUGAUUAGCUAGUUGGUGAGGUAACGGCUCACCAAGGCGACGAUCAGUAGGGGGAUCUGAGAGGACUAACCCCCCACACUGGUACUGAGACACGGACCAGACUCCUACGGGAGGCAGCAGUAAGGAAUAUUGGUCAAUGGAGGCAACUCUGAACCAGCCAUGCCGCGUGCAGGAUGACGGCCCUAUGGGUUGUAAACUGCUUUUGUACCAGAGAAAACCUACUCACGUGUGAGUAGCUGAUAGUAUGGUAAGAAUAAGCAUCGGCUAACUUCGUG